rnacentral:lncRNA from 1 species
CAUCCUACUUUGUUAUAACUUUUGCAAAGCACAGAAAUUUGAAUUCCCAUUCUGUAAUGUUUGUAAUGGUCUGCAACUUUUGAAUCUUGUGUCAGAUAUAGUAACCAUUGCUGUGGAGAGAGUAAAUAGCAGCAAGCAGUACUAUUUGUAUUGUAGUUUUUUUUAUUGCAGUUGAAGUCUAGAGUUGAUGGAAUAAUCUUGUUGUUCCUGUUAUCAUCUCUCUUCUUUGUUUUAUUAUAUCAAGAUUUAUAACAUUUACUUUAUACUUUCAGCUGCCUAUAUGUGAAAUUUGAUUUUGUUCAAAGUUCAAUAUAGUGUACUGUUUUGUAGUGUUUUCAGUAAUUUGAUGCAACAUGAAGUUUAUAAAUGAAAACUUCUGGAUUUAGGAACAAAAAUUAAAAUAAUAGAUGAAGUGAUGUCAAAAAAUGACUGAAAACAGAGAUUGGAAGUGUCUAUGGAAUUCCAAAAAGUUUUGUCAACAAUUUUGAACAAUAAGAAGAAAAUCAUUAACAUCAAGCACAUAUGAAAAGUAAUGUAAAGCAUAUAUGGAAUGCUAAUCGUUCUAAUGAUGAAGCUACAAGUUUAUGGUUGCAGCAGGCAACAUGCACAGCAGAUACUAAUCUCUGGACCUAUAUUGCAACAAAAAGCACAGAAUUUUGCUUUUGCAUUGGAGAAAAGACUUCAAAGCUAGCAAUGAUUGGUUACACCAAUUCAAAACUUGUAAUGGACUUGUUUUUAGAAUAAUAUGUAGUGAAAAUGGAAGUGUUGAUUCAAACACUAGAUGAUUGGAUAAAUGAUACACUAACUAGACUUUGUGAAGGAUAUGCUCCAU